UCAAACUUGGUCAUUUAGAGGAAGUAAAAGUCGUAACAAGGUUUCCGUAGGUGAACCUGCGGAAGGAUCAUUACUGAGUAAAGGUUUUUAAAUAAGCCUGACCUCCAACCCUUUGUUAAAUUAUACCUCUUGUUGCUUUGGUGUUUUUUAACUAAAACACCAACAGCCUUAACAAAAAAUUCUUUUUUAAUUAUGUUUUAAUGCCUGAAUUUUAAAUUAUAAAUUUAAACAAAACUUUCAACAACGGAUCUCUUGGUUCUGGCAUCGAUGAAGAACGCAGC
rnacentral:misc_RNA from 1 species